AAACGACUCUCGGCAACGGAUAUCUCGGCUCUCGCAUCGAUGAAGAACGUAGCGAAAUGCGAUACUUGGUGUGAAUUGCAGAAUCCCGUGAACCAUCGAGUCUUUGAACGCAAGUUGCGCCCGAGGCCACUAGGCCGAGGGCACGUCUGCCUGGGUGUCACGC
rnacentral:rRNA from 1 species